CACGUAGUUAGCCGGUGCUUCUUAUCCAGGUACCGUCACCAAAAGGCUUCUUCCCUAGCGAAAGGAGUUUACAACCCGAAGGCCUUCAUCCCCCACGCGGCGUCGCUGCAUCAGGCUUGCGCCCAUUGUGCAAUAUUCCCCACUGCUGCCUCCCGUAGGAGUCUGGGCCGUGUCUCAGUCCCAAUGUGGCCGUACACCCUCUCAGGCCGGCUACCCGUCGUCGCCUUGGUAGGCCAUUACCCCACCAACAAGCUGAUAGGCCGCGGGCUCAUCUUGCACCGAAAAACUUUCCACCACACACACUAAAGCAUGGUCCUAUCCGGUAUUAGACCCAGUUUCCCAGGCUUAUCCCGAAGUGCAAGGCAGAUCACCCACGUGUUACUCACCCGUUCGCCACUCGAGUACCUCUGCAAGCAGAGGCCUUUCCGUUCGACUUGCAUGUGUUAAGCACGCCGCCAGCGUCGUCUCGAGCCACGGAGUCAACUAC
rnacentral:rRNA from 1 species